AUGAAUAUCACAACUUAGCAAUCUAUAGUUGGGGUUAAUCCCUCAUAACCUAAUUAAACCCUAAACCUAACAAUAGAACUACUCAGACAUGGCUAAGAAAUUCAUAACAACAAUUAGAUAUAAAAACUACAUAGAUAAACAGAUAUAUAUUAAUAGAGUUCCAACCACAAAUCUCUUUGGAUCUCCUCUCCAACUCUACUAAAAUCCUAGAAAACCUUUGAUGUGAAAAUAAGAAAACAAGAAAACAAGAAAGCACACUUUGCCUCUAACAUGUUGGCAAGCUAUAAAUAUUAGGUUAAAACUCGUCAGGGGUAAUCUUGUAAAUUGGUGAAGUCUUGGGCUCUAAGUCAGCUGGAACCAAACGGGCUUUUGUGCGCUUCGCCAUCGACCGAUGUCACAGGAUGUGCAUCAAUCGAUUAUUGUCUCUGAAUGUCGACCAUUGGUCUUGCUCGAUGGUCAGCUCGGAUGCUUUCUCCAAUUAUCUCCAAAAUGCUCCAAAAUCAUCACUUUCUUCCAAAUC
rnacentral:lncRNA from 1 species